GACGAACGCUGGCGGCGUGCUUAACACAUGCAAGUCGAACGGUGACCUCGAGAGCUUGCUCUUGGGUGAACAGUGGCGAACGGGUGAGUAACACGUGAGUAACCUGCCCCUGACUCUGGAAUAAGCGCUGGAAACGGCGUCUAAUACCGGAUAUGACACACCCUCGCAUGGGGAGUGUGUGGAAAGUUUUUCGGUCUGGGAUGGACUCGCGGCCUAUCAGCUUGUUGGUGAGGUAAUGGCUCACCAAGGCGAUGACGGGUAGCCGGCCUGAGAGGGCGACCGGCCACACUGGGACUGAGACACGGCCCAGACUCCUACGGGAGGCAGCAGUGGGGAAUAUUGCACAAUGGGCGAAAGCCUGAUGCAGCGACGCCGCGUGAGGGAUGACGGCCUUCGGGUUGUAAACCUCUUUCAGCAGGGAAGAAGCGCAAGUGACGGUACCUGCAGAAGAAGCACCGGCUAACUACGUGCCAGCCGCCGCCGUAAAAC
rnacentral:rRNA from 1 species